UUUCCGUAGGUGAACCUGCGGAAGGAUCAUUAUCGAAUUUCGAGGGGAAGGAAGAUGAGGAGUGGAGACUGUCGCCGGCUUUCCCGCCUGGGAAGCAUGUGCACGCCUUGCUUUUCGUUGACCUUUCUCUUACUCUCACACCUGUGCACCCAUUGUAGGUCCUCGAAAGAGGAUCUAUGUUUUUAUCAUCACACGCAUCGUAUGUCCAUAGAAUGUAACAUGAUCGUCGAUCGACCUCGCGGUCGGGUGGCGGUCUAAAUAAAUAAAUACAACUUUCAGCAACGGAUCUCUUGGCUCUC
rnacentral:misc_RNA from 1 species